ACACACACUGAUUCUUCAAAUGGACGUUUCGAGUCUCCCAAUUUCUCCAUCGCACUGGGGAAAGUUGAUAUCGGCCGGCUACUCUUCUCUAUCCUCUCUCUCCUCCCCGUUUAGCCCUAGAUUUGAAGAUUUCGGAAAAUGAGGCGGUGGAGAUUUUGAAAGUAGCAUCUGGAAGGAGUGGGCAACACAAAAUUGAGAGCGGAAGUCGUGCUAUUGUGAAUGGUAAAAUUAGUUUCCAGGCUGAAUUACUGAAUUGGCUUGUUUUAUUUUUUUUUUCCGUGAAUUAUAUAGCUUUUCUUUGAUAUUAGUGGAAGAUUCAUUUUCUUGUUCUGCUAAUUCAAGGCUGACAUAUUUGCAUUUUUGCGUUAUGAUCAUUUGUGAGUAAUGUUGGUUUAAGCUCAAUGUCAGUUCAUUCAUAUCACACUUGUGAAGUACUAAUAUAGAAUAAGAGAAGGAACAAUAUUCCUUUUGGAUUU